rnacentral:tRNA from 1 species
AUGGAAAAUUGCAUUUUUGGAAUUUGCAAUAAUGCGAUGGGCGAACGACGGGAAUUGAACCCGCGCAUGGUGGAUUCACAAUCCACUGCCUUGAUCCACUUGGCUGGGCUCGGCCUUAUGCCUGGUGUUUUGUUCCACUCUUGCCGCCCUAGUUUCUGUCAUACCGGUAUUAUGUUCCUUGAGUUUGCGUUCCUUACGCAGUUGGGUGAUUUAUGGGACCCCCUUGACAGUUCGCCUUGA